UCGCAAGAAGGAGAUGAAAAUCAUUGGAAUGAGAACCCAGCUUUGCCUAGAAGCAGCAACCUUUGAAAGAGUGCAUAAUAGCUCACUGAUCGAGCGCUCUUGCAUUGAAGAUGAAUGGGGCUAAGCGA
rnacentral:rRNA from 1 species